AUUGAACGCUGGCGGCAGGCCUAACACAUGCAAGUCGAGCGGAUGAAGGGAGCUUGCUCCUGGAUUCAGCGGCGGACGGGUGAGUAAUGCCUAGGAAUCUGCCUGGUAGUGGGGGAUAACGUCCGGAAACGGGCGCUAAUACCGCAUACGUCCUGAGGGAGAAAGUGGGGGAUCUUCGGACCUCACGCUAUCAGAUGAGCCUAGGUCGGAUUAGCUAGUUGGUGGGGUAAAGGCCUACCAAGGCGACGAUCCGUAACUGGUCUGAGAGGAUGAUAAGUCACACUGGAACUGAGACACGGUCCAGACUCCUACGGGAGGCAGCAGUGGGGAAUAUUGGACAAUGGGCGAAAGCCUGAUCCAGCCAUGCCGCGUGUGUGAAGAAGGUCUUCGGAUUGUAAAGCACUUUAAGUUGGGGGGAAGGGCAGUAAGUUAAUACCUUGCUGUUUUGACGUUACCAACAGAAUAAGCACCGGCUAACUUCGUG
rnacentral:rRNA from 1 species